rnacentral:pre_miRNA from 1 species
AAUGUACUCCUUCGUCCGGAAUUACUUGUCGCACAAAUUGAUAAAAAUGGAUGUAUCUAGAACUGAAAUACAUCUAGAUACAUCCAUUUCUAUGAUAAGUAUUUUUGGACGGAGGGAGUACUAU